rnacentral:sRNA from 1 species
UGUUUAAAAAUCUUUUAAAAAUCCUUGUACAUCUUUUAAAACUCUUUUAAAAUUUCUUGUAAAUCUUUAAAACCGUUUUAAAAUCCCUUGUAAAUCUUUUAAAACGCUUUUAAACCCUUUAAAAAUCUUUUAAAAAUCUUUGUAAAUCUUUUAAAGCCCUUUAAAAUUCUUUGUAAAUAUUUUAAAACCUUUUAAAAUUCCUUGUAAAUGUAUUAAAACCCUUUUAAAAUCACUUGUAAAUCUUUUAAAACCCUUUUAAAAUCCCUUGUAAAUAUUUUAAAACCUUUUUUAAAUCGCUUGUAAAUCUUUUUAAAUUCUUUUCAAAUCCCUUGUAAAUCUUUUUCCCGCAAAAAUAUUUU